GGUCACUCCUGUCCCCUCACAGCCGGCUCUGCCCCUCCGCACCGCCUGAACACUUAAUUUUCACCGCCUCCUUGCCAGAUCCACGACAAACACCCUCAAGCCCUCCACACUACGGCUCCCAGCCGGGCUGAUCCUUGCACCCUCAUCCCACCGGUACCUAUUUUGGCCUCCUCCUUUCUGGUCACACCCCCCACAUGUAGCUCACAGGCUAACCCUAAAAAGCCUCCCUGUUCCCUGCACCAUACACACACUCUUUUUAAAAAUCUUUUCCCUCCCAUCGUUGCCUGCCUCCAACUCUCACUCCAAAUUGCCCCCAGAGCGCAGCUCACACAUAAUGGACUUUAUUCUUCCCCAAAUCCUCGAGGCAAUCAGUCACACGCCAUCCACUGCUGCCUUCCUAAAUCGGAAAAGACAGAAACCACAAAAUUAUCAGCUUUGUACAAUCGCUUGUUUCUCUGCAUGGCAACAGCAGGAGUCAGCAAGCUGGGAGGAAGGAGGUGUGCUGCAAGUAAUUGUGAUUUGCACUCCCUGCAGCCCAGGAGAGGUGUCCGGGUAAUCAGCCCCAUGUAGUGACACUUCUUGACAUACUGAGACUGCUUGAUCUGGCUCUCACCUACAGGUGAUGAGCAAAGCACAGCCCCACCAGCCUCGGGAUCUGACCCUGUACAGCCUUCACCCCAGUGACAGGGCCUCAGGCCAGGCCUCAACUUGCUCCUGUGAUGGAGGAUGAAAGCCAGUAAAAAAAUUACAGCUAUCCAUGUGAACAGCAGUACUUCAGUAAGUCUGCGAGACAAGUGCCAAGUGAAGCAGAGAAGCGAAUACAACAGAAAGAACGUUUCCCUCUGGCAGUCUCUGUCUUUAAUUCCAAAAUAACAGUUGUGCAGCCAAGGUUUAACAAAAUGGUUGAGCUAAUCCCUGCUGUCCACAGGUGACUGUUCACCUGCUCCAUCACAGGUCCUUGUUUGACAUC